UACGGGGGGGGCAAGCGUUGUUCGGAAUUACUGGGCGUAAAGGGCUCGUAGGCGGCCAACUAAGUCAGACGUGAAAUCCCUCGGCUUAACCGGGGAACUGCGUCUGAUACUGGAUGGCUUGAGUUCGGGAGAGGGAUGUGGAAUUCCAGGUGUAGCGGUGAAAUGCGUAGAUAUCUGGAGGAACACCGGUGGCGAAGGCGGCAUCCUGGACCGACACUGACGCUGAGGCACGAAAGCGUGGGGAGCAAACAGG
rnacentral:rRNA from 1 species